AACGAUAUCCGUCUUUUUUUUUUUGAAAAUGACGGUGUGACAACUGAUUGCGCCUGGAGUACCGGUGAAAAUUACAACAUUUCUUAGUGAAAUCCUUAAGGAAGCCCAAGUACUAGCAGAUGGAGUCCAACCAGAUUUCCAUGUUGGGUUCCAACCAGUUGGACGUAGCGCUGCAGCGGCUGCAGAUGCAGCGUGAUGAGCUGCUCCAGCCGCCCCAGCAGCUCCAGAACUCUGGAUUACUGAAAGCUUCAACGCUUCCAAAUCUGUAAAAUAGCAUUUCUAGUCAAUUAAUAUUUAACUUAUAUUUUGAAAAAAUC